ACGAACGCUGGCGGCGUGCUUAACACAUGCAAGUCGAGCGGUAAGGCCCUUUCGGGGGUACACGAGCGGCGAACGGGUGAGUAACACGUGGGUGACCUGCCCUCAGCUCUGGGAUAAGCCUGGGAAACCGGGUCUAAUACCGGAUAUGACUCCAUGACGCAUGUUGUGGGGUGGAAAGCCUUGUGCGGCUGAGGAUGGGCCCGCGGCCUAUCAGCUUGUUGGUGGGGGAUGGCCUACCAAGGCGACGACGGGUAGCCGGCCUGAGAGGGCGACCGGCCACACUGGGACUGAGACACGGCCCAGACUCCUACGGGAGGCAGCAGUGGGGAAUCUUGCGCAAUGGGCGAAAGCCUGACGCAGCGACGCCGCGUGAGGGAUGACGGCCUCGGUGUAAC
rnacentral:rRNA from 1 species